GUUUACCAACGCUGCUGCUAACAACGUUAGCCUCCAAAAGUGAAGCUAAACUCUACAGCCUUGGUCUGGAUCAUUGGGAACAUCUGGUCUGAUGGACUGAGAACUACAGAGAACUUGGACAUCCAGCUGUGGUUGUCUGAAGAGUCUUUUCUCCUUCAUAACUGUGAGGAAGAGCAGCACUGAUGUCCUCCUCAUCCUUCCAGUAAUAACAAUAAUGCUGCAGAUUCAGCUCCUCUCUUCAUAAUACAACUUGUCUUGUGACUGUUCAGUAUUUACACUUCACUGUCAGCAACACAUUAUUUAUUUUAUUUCAUGUGUUUACACAUCUUUACAGUUCACAAUUGUUAAAUUAUGUAGUUUUUAAAUGUGCAAUAAAGGAAAUAAUGAA